rnacentral:rRNA from 1 species
UACGAAGGGGGCUAGCGUUGUUCGGAAUUACUGGGCGUAAAGGGCGCGUAGGCGGCCUUCUAAGUCGAACGUGAAAUCCCCGGGCUCAACCCGGGAACUGCGUCCGAUACUGGAAGGCUUGAAUCCGGGAGAGGGAUGUGGAAUUCCAGGUGUAGCGGUGAAAUGCGUAGAUAUCAGGAGGAACACCGAUGGCGAAGGCAGCUCGCUGGGACGGUACUGACGC